ACCAAUACGGACGUGUUUUUAUGCGCUCUGAAAAAAGUUUUGACUUUUAAAUUUUUUUUACUACGACAGAAUCUUAGUUGACUGAUGGUCUUUGACAAAGACAGACUUGUUUUUGUGAGCUCUGAAAAAAAUUUGACUUUGAAAUAUUUUUACGAUUAAAAAGUUUCAGUUGACUUUUGAACGUUGACGAAGACGGACGUACUUUCGUGAGCUCUGACUAUUGAUGAAAAGUUUUCGCGUUAUAGAAUAGCGACUUGGUACUCAGGUUGUUGAAUGACUGGAUGACUGUAGUGUUAGGUUAUUGUUAUGAGAUAACAACUUGACUUUGACUUGAGUUGUGAAAUGAAAUCAUACUCUUAUGCGAUGAUAACUUUUGAACGUUUAGUACUGACUGACAACGAAUUUUUGUGAGCGUUAUAUAUGAAAUGUUUGACUUACAUUAAUUUUAUUGAACGACUUGACUUCAAUUUAAGUUUUGACAUCGGACUGAUCGGACGUGUUUUUUUAAGCCCUGACUGUUGUGAAUAAUUAAAUUUAUGUUGUGGUGUCAAGCGAUUGACUGUCAGUUGAGGUUCAGAUGUCGAGCUGUGCGGACGUGUUCAUCGAGCUGCUGUCUACAAAAAACGUGAGUACAAAUUUUUUUCGUUUUACUGUUUACAAGUUGCGUGAUGAUGUAUGAUGGUUGAAAUGUGUUGGGUAGAAAUUACUCAGUGCUGAUACAGUGUCGAUAUGUUGUGAUGAGCGAUGAUAGUGGAUGAUGGUGGAACAGAAUAUUCAUUGAGGUACUUUGAGGAAGCGAACAUAUGAUGGAAAAAUGUUGCAAAAAUAUUAAAUGACAAUGUAUUGAAUCGCUUUUGUUGAUAUGUAUGAUAUUGAUUAAAUUGUAUUUGCAUGCUGUAACAUUUCUAUUCCAUUUCAGGGGGCUGUGGUGAGUAUUGUAGUAUAAAUUUGUUUCAAUAAAUCAUGAUGAAUGAAAACUGAUUUUGAUUCGUUUUGUACAGGUUUACUUGUAUAGAAGUGUAAUGCGUUGGGUAGAAAUUAGAAUCUACUCAGUACUGAUAUAGUGUCGAUAUGUUGUGAUUAGCGAUGAUGGUGUAUGAUGGUGGAACAGAACAUGAGCUACUUUGGGGAAACGAACAUAUGAUUGAAAAAAAUUUGCAAACAUAGUAGAUAAAUGAUAUGAUAUUGCUUAAAUUGUAUUUGCAUGCUGUAACAUUUCUAUUUCAUUUCAGGGUGCUGUGGUGAGUACUGUAGAUUGUAGUGCAUAUGUAUAGAAUUCAAUAAACGAUGAUGAAUGAAAACUGAUUUCGAUUCGUUUUGUGUAAUUUUAGGUAUUUUCACUCUAUCACAACUCUGUCGGUUGGUGUUCAUGAGUGUGAGACUAAUACAGCAAUGUUUGAGUAGUACAAAAAUGUUUUCGCUUUUGUGGUCGCCAGCUGUCCGUGAUCUGUAAAGUGAAAAUACACAGAGCUAUGAAGCAUACAGAUGUUUUGAAAUUUUAUCAAUGAUUGUAUACUAUGCAUGUUUUGAUUUAGUUCGUUUCAGAUUUGACAUGAGAUGAAAACCUGACAUGAUUUGAACAGAGCUGGGAAACGAAAAGAUUUUCAGAUGUGUGCUGGCAGUUCAAGUCUGGCAGCUGGAGUGAACAGUCGUGUUUUCUGGAGCUCCAACAAUAUGCUAGAAGGUAAGUAACUAUGUUUGUUUUGCAUUGCAUGUUUUAUAUGUUUCAGACUUUCAAGCAGAGAUGUCAUGCUGACUGGAGUUGAGCACAGGGCAGUGACAAAGUGAAAGGUAAGUACUUUUGACUGAAUGUUUGUUCUAUGCAUGUUUUGUUUUAAUACAUUUCAGGAGUGCUUAUCCAGUGAUGAUAUGACAGUUGGAGUGAACAGUGGAGCCAAGCAGUCUUGUUUUUGGAGCUACUCAACAAGCCUUGAAGGUAAGUUUAGAAUUUCUCAAUGUUAGUGAAUUGAAGUACUGUCACUUGCUUUUGGACAGUCGAACAGAACAGACGUGGUUGCGAGAGCUCUCAUAUCUGUUGUGUUAAACUGUUUUUAUGAUAUGUUAUGUUUGUUUGUUUGUUUGUGAUGUACUAUUUUUCAGAUGCUGAUGGCAGUGAUGGGUUUUCAAGCUGACCUGAACAGAAAAGCACUCAUAUGGUAAGUACAAAAUAGUUGUUAUAUGGGAUGUUUUGUGCAUGCUUUUAUGUUUCAGGUGUACUUGCUGACAGCGACGAAGACGAAUCAAGAAGAGGAACAUUGUUGAGAAAGUGAUUGGGACUUGCAAACAGGAUUCGAGUCACUGGUUUACACAUGGAAGAAGAUUUCCACGUCUGUUACUCAACUCUACAGAAGCAAGGUAAGUCGAUCAAAUUUUUGUUUUAAUUUGUACUGCUGUAAUGUGAUGGUAAACUUAUGCUAUUUUUCAUGUGUGUCAUGUACAGAUGGAUAAUUCAAGUUUUAUCUGUGUUGGUUUAUGUUCAAAAACGUUUUACAUGUAUGUGUGUUUGAAGAUGUUUUGUUUCAGUGGAUGGCCAGAUGGCAAGCAGAACAGACGUGUUUCUUGGAGCUGCCAAACAGUGAGUACAAACGUUUUAUAUUUUUCAGUUGUUUACUCAUAGAAGUCUGUGAAAGAUGAUAACAAGGGUUGAAUCUAUCAGCACUUGUGUCUAAAAAUGCUGAUGUGUGAUGGUUUACUGAAAGGGGUAAAUGCUAGCCAGUACUUACACUUGAGCAACCGUGGGAUGUCGAACUAACUGAUGAUGUACUAUGAUGGUGAACACUUACUUUGUGUAUCGAAAUGCUUUUGUUGAUAUUUACUAAAUAUUGAUUGACAUUUGUUUGCAUGCUGUUAACAUUUCUAUUUCAUUUCAGUUGGCUGUGGUGAGUAUUGUAAUAUACAUUUGUUUCAAUAAAUCAUGAUGAAUGAACACUGAUUUCGAUUCUUUUUUACAGUUUUAGGGAUUAUCACUCUAUAACAACUCUGUCGGUUGGUGUUCGUGAAUGUGAGCUUAAUGUUUGAGUAGUACAAAAAUGUCUUUACUUUUGUGAUCGCCAGUUGUCUGUGAUGUAAAGUGGAAAAAACACAGCUAUGAAGCAUACAAUUGUUUCAAUAUUUUAUCAAUGAUAGUGUGCUAUGCAUGUUUUGAUUUAGUUCGUUUCAGAUACGACAUGACAUGAAGAGUUGACAGUCGAACAGAGCUGAGCAAAGCAGAAAGGUAAGUGUGUUUCAUUUUAGUAUGGACACUUGUAUUUUGUUUUUAUAUGGUAUGUUUUGUGCAUGCUAUGUUUCAGGUGUACUUGUAGUCAGCGACGAAGACGAUUCAAGAAGAGGAACAUUGCUGAGAAAGUGAAUGGGACUUGCAAACAGGGUAAGUGUUACAAUUGUUUGUUUGAUUUUUACCAUGCAUACUUUGCUUUGCUCUGUUUCAGAUUUCACAUGCAGAAAUGGUCUCAUAGCAGUGCCAACAGUGAAUAAGGAUUUCAGCUGCUGUGAAACAACUCAACAGAAAGUAGGUAAGCAUUGAAUGAAUGCACUUGAGUUGUACAAUUUGAUGUGAUGCUUUUCUCUGUUUCAGAUUCAAGUUCCUGGUGUAGACAGAGAAAUGUGUUUGAAGAAGGAAUUCUACUACUGUGAUUCAACUCUACAGAAGCAAGGUAAGUAGAAACAAAAUUUUGGUUUAAUUUAACUCAUGUGUUUUGCACUGAAUGCUAUUUUUCAGGUCUCUCAUGCAGUGAGGGAAAAGAAGAAGAUUUCAAGAAAAAAUCACUGCUGCAACUCAGGCCGAUAACAAGGUAAGCGUUUACUAUAUUGUAUACAAAAUGUUUUUCUGUUUUACUCUGUUUCAGGUUUCAAUUGCAGAGAUGUUGCAGAGAUGUUUUGACAGCUUGUGACAGAAAAGAAAUUCAGCAGCUGUGUCUCGACUCUAGCCACGAGGUAAGUCAAAACAAAUAUACUGGUUUGUAUGUAAUGUUGUUAUGCCCUUCUAUGUUUCAGACUUACAUUGCUGUGACUGUUCGACAGUGGGUCAAAAAAGAGACGAAUACAGGUUUCAAGAAGAAAAUUGGCUGUUAAAACUCUGCACAAAAUAUGAGGUAAGUAAACAACUCUUUUGGUUUGUUUUGUGCCUUGUUAUGCUUAACUAUUUUUCAGAUUGAAAUGGUGGGUCGUUACAGAGCAGACUUUUGGACUACUGAGAAGUUGAGAAACAGAGAAUGAUUCAAGAUCAGCUAGGUAAGUCUUGAUUAUUGUGCAUUGCUAAAUGUUUUUUUUCAUUCCAGUAUGGCUGUGGUAAGUACACAAACUUUCUAUAAUUUAAUAUUGAACUGUUUUUAUGACCUGUAUUCUGCAUUGUAAAAUGUCUGUUUUUCAUUUCAGUAUCCUGUGGUAAGUACACUAACUUUCUUUAAUUUUCAUAUUGAACUGUUUUGAUGACUUGUAUACUACUAUGCAAUGCCUAAUGUUUUUUUCAUUUCAGUAGCCUGUUGGUAAGUACACUAACUUUCUAUAAUUUCAUAGUGAACUGUUUUGAUGACUUGUAUUCUGCUAUACAAAAUGUGUUUUUUUCAUUUCAGUUGCCUGUGGUAAGUACACUAACUUUCUAUCAUUUCAUAUUGAACUGUUUUGAUGACCUGUAUUUUGCAUUGUAAAAUGUGUUUCUUUUUCAUUUCAGUAUGGCUGU